rnacentral:misc_RNA from 1 species
GUAAGGAACAAGUGGCGCGCUCCAGCGAUUAUCUCGAUGACCAGUUGAGUUUUCGGGAAAAGCUGAUGGUGCGCCAUCACUUGAUGUUCUGCCCCAACUGCCGGCGUUUCAUGCGGCAGAUGCGUUUGAUGCAGGCGACACUGAAGGCGAUGCCGGAGAAACCGGAACAGGGAGUGGAUGCCCUGGCUGAACGUCUGGCGACGCAGAGGCGCGACGAGAAUUCCUGAAAAAAUCAGCCCGGUGUAGCGCCAGCGAACGGAU